rnacentral:rRNA from 1 species
UCCUACGGGAGGCAGCAGUAGGGAAUAUUAGUGAAUGUGCGAAAGCGCGAACUAGCAACGCCGCGUGCGCGAUGAAGGUCUUCGGAUCGUAAAGCGCUUUUCGAGGGGAUGAGGAAGGACAGUACCCUCGGAAUAAGUCUCGGCUAACUACGUGCCAGCAGCCGCGGUAAAACGUAGGAGGCAAGCGUUAUCCGGAUUUACUGGGCGUAAAGCGCGUGCAGGCGGCUUGGAAAGUUGGAUGUGAAAGCUCCCGGCUCAACUGGGAGAGGUCGUUCAAAACUACCAAGCUAGAGGAUGGGAGAGGGAGGUGGAAUUCCGGGUGUAGUGGUGAAAUGCGUAGAUAUCCGGAGGAACACCAGUGGCGAAAGCGGCCUCCUGGCCCAUUUCUGACGCUCAGACACGAAAGCUAGGGUAGCAAACGGGAUUAGAUACCCGAGUAGUCC